CACUAGCAGACACACACACUCACUGACACACACACUCACAGGCAAACGUACACACACAGUCAGACACAAACACAGUCAGACACACACACACACACACAAACACACUCACUCACUAGCAGACACACUCACUCACUAGCAGACACACACUAGCAGACACACUCACUGACACACACACUCACAGGCAAACACACUCACACUAACAGUCAGACACACACACUCACUAACAGACACACACACACUCACUAACAGACAGACACACUCACUAACAUACACACUCACUGACAGAAACACUCACUAACAGACACACUCACUAACAGACACUCACUGACGCACUCACUAACAGACACACUCACUAACAGUCACACUUACUAACAGACACACACACUCACUCACUCACUCACUAACAGACACACUCACUAACAGUCACACUUACUAACAGACACACACACUCACUCAC